GAUGAACGCUGACAGAAUGCUUAACACAUGCAAGUCGAUUCAAUUUACCUUCGGGUAAUGAGGAUGGCGGACGGGUGAGUAACGCGUAAGGAACUUGCCUCUUGGACUGGGACAACUGUUGGAAACGACAGCUAAUACCGGAUAUUAUGAGAUUCUCGCAUGGGAAACUUAUGAAAGCUAUAUGCGCCAAGAGAGAGCCUUGCGUUCCAUUAGCUAGUUGGUGGGGUAACGGCCCACCAAGGCGACGAUGGAUAGCCGGCCUGAGAGGGUGAACGGCCACAAGGGGACUGAGACACGGCCCUUACUCCUACGGGAGGCAGCAGUGGGGAAUAUUGGACAAUGGGCCACAAGCCUGAUCCAGCAAUUCUGUGUGCACGAUGAAGGUCUUCGGAUUGUAAAGUGCUUUCAGUUGGGAAGAAGAAAGUGACGGUACCAACAGAAGAAGCGACGGCUAAAUACGUGCCAGCAGCCGCGGUAAUACGUAUGUCGCAAGCGUUAUCCGGAUUUAUUGGGCGUAAAGCGCGUCUAGGCGGAAAAAUAAGUCUGAUGUUAAAAUGCGGGGCUCAACUCCGUAUUGNNUUGGAAACUGUUUUUCUAGAGUACUGGAGAGGUGGGCGGAACUACAAGUGUAGAGGUGAAAUUCNUA
rnacentral:rRNA from 1 species